rfam:Clostridium sp. ASF356 genomic scaffold acMac-supercont1.1, whole genome shotgun sequence.
GGAGAAAUGUCCGAGUGGUUUAAGGUGACAGUCUCGAAAACUGUUGAGGGGUAUCCCUCCGAGGGUUCGAAUCCCUCUUUCUCCG